CACUAAUGCUCUCUUAAAUGCCUUCAGUUCUGAAGUGGAUGUCCCUCUCAUGUCCUGGUGAAACUUCUUCCCUGCAAUAAGACUUUCAGGAAUGGUUCGAAACCUACUUGAUACUAAGACUCAUGCGUGUUGGUGCAAUCGAUGAGUGUUUGCUGGGGAAGUAUCUGGAUAUUUGGACCCAGAUUGCCAUGACAAGUUCUUCUAGUCCAUUAAGUAAGCUGGUUGCUCCAGCCUGCAGAGCUCAUCUGAAAUGUUUUCCCCCGAGAGAACCACCGGAAGGAGCUCAUGGAGACACAGUUUGAGGCCCUAAGAAGGACCCAGUCUCUUGAAUUGGGGGCCAGAGAAGAGACCAAUGCCUGUAUUCUGGUUUUUGGGUGAGAGGAAGCUGGACUGAGACUUUUACUUAAAACUCCUGUUCAGCUUAGCUGUGGACCCAGACUCCUUCCUGUGUCUGCGUCUUUGCUUUCAGGGCCUUUUUGGUUCCGUUGCUGUAGACCCAUGCUGUCUAAUACAAUAACCCUUUGUCACAUGUGGCCGUGGAGCGCUCGAAAUGUGGCUGGUCGGAAUCGAGAUGUGUUGUGAGGGUAAAAUAUACACCAGAUUGUGAAGACAUUUUGAAAAAAAAGAUGAGGAAAUUGAUGCACAGACAGGCUAAGGGGCAGCCAUGCAGAAGAGGGGAUCGGGACUGGGCCCCAAGUAUGCUAAGGCUCGGCCAUAACCACACACCCCACGUGCUUCGAGUCGGACUCCCCAUGUCGAUUCUCCAGCACAGACCUUUGGAACCUGUCAAAUUUAUGGUCUUCUUUUUGCCCUUGGCUCAUAUAUUAAAACAUGUCUUGAC